ACGCUGGCGGCGUGCCUAAUACAUGCAAGUCGAACGCUGGAGAUCUAGCUUGCUAGAUCGAAGGAGUGGCGAACGGGUGAGUAAUACAUAAGCAACCUACCCACGAAGACUGGGAUAAUCUCUGGAAACGGGGACUAAUACCGGAUAGGUAAUCGGAAGGCAUCUUCUGAUUAUUAAAGGUUAAAAACACUGGUGGAUGGGCUUAUGGCGCAUUAGUUAGUUGGUGAGGUAACGGCCCACCAAGACGAUGAUGCGUAGCCGGCCUGAGAGGGUGAACGGCCACAUUGGGACUGAGACACGGCCCAGACUCCUACGGGAGGCAGCAGUAGGGAAUUUUCGGCAAUGGGGGAAACCCUGACCGAGCAACGCCGCGUGAGUGAUGACGGCCUUCGGGUUGUAAAGCUCUGUUGUAAGGGAAGAACGGUAGAUAGAGAAUAUCUAAGUGACGGUACCUUACCAGAAAGCCACGGCUAACUACAUGCCAGCAGCCGCGGUAAUACGUAGGUGGCGAGCGUUAUCCGGAAUUAUUGGGCGUAAAGGGUGCGUAGGCGGCCUGUUAAGUAAGUGGUUAAAUUGUUGGGCUCAACCCAAUCCAGCCACUUAAACUGGCAGGCUAGAGUAUUGGAGAGGCAAGUGGAAUUCCAUGUGUAGCGGUAAAAUGCGUAGAUAUAUGGAGGAACACCAGUGGCGAAGGCGGCUUGCUAGCCAAAGACUGACGCUCAUGCACGAAAGCGUGGGGAGCAAAUAGGGUUAGAUACCCUAGUAGUCCACGCCGUAAACGAUGAAUACUAAGUAUUGGGGAAACUCAGUGCUGUAGCUAACGCAAUAAGUAUUCCGCCUGUGGAGUAUGCACGCAAGUGUGAAACAUAAAGGAAUUGACGGGGGCCCGCACAAGCGGUGGAGUAUGUGG
rnacentral:rRNA from 1 species